CAGGCCAGUUUUCUUGCACCUCUUUGGUCUUGCACCUCUUGGUCUUGCACCUCUUUGGUCUUGCACCUCUUUGGUCUUGAACCUCUUUGGUUGUGAUAGAACACAAACACAAACACAAUGGUUGCAGCAGUUGUAACUCUUGCAUACCUUGCUCUUCCUCUUCUUUUGUUAAUCUUUGUCCAAAAUCUUAGAAAGGGGAAGGGGUCACGGUUUCCACCUGGUCCAAGAGGGCUUCCCAUAGUAGGGAACCUUCUUCAGGUGGACAGUACAACUCUCCAUCUGCAGCUAUGGGAACUGUCAAAGAAAUACGGACCUAUCGUUUCCCUUAGAUUUGGAUCAAGGAGAGCCAUUGCUGUUUGCACCUCUGAAUUGGCCAAAGUGGUGUUGAAAGACCAUGACCUUGAGUGUUGUGGACGACCUAAAUUACUUGGCCAACAAACACUGUUCUUCAAAGGCUAUGAUGUUAUAUUCUCCCCAUAUGGUGAGUUUUGGAGAGAAAUUAGAAAAAUUUGUGUUCUCAAUGUCCUUAGCCAGAAACAAGUCUCAACAUUUUCACCAAUAAGACGUAGUGAGUUGAAGAAUAUGAUGAUAAAAAUAUCUAGGAACGCUUCAUCUUCAAAGCUUACUAAUUUUACAGAAGCGAUGAUGUCUCUUACGAGCACAGUGAUAUGUAGAAUUCUAUUUGGGAGAAGCUAUGAAGAUGACGCAGCGGAGGGGAGUAGGUUCUAUUCACUACUCAAAGGUUGUCAAGAGAUGAUGGUUGCAUUCUUUUUCUCUGAUUUCAUUCCUUCCUUGGGUUGGAUCGAUACUGUAACUGGAAAGAAAGCUCGUCUUCGUACUAUUUUCAAGGAGGUUGAUGAGUUCUUCCAGGACGCCAUUGAUGAACACUCUGAUCCAAAGAGAAAAGUGAAUCCAGAGAAUCAGGAUGUGACAGAUAUCAUUCUCAAACUGCAGAAGCAGGGUUCGAGUUCCAUAGAAAUGACAGACGACGUGGUCAAAGCCAUCCUCAUGGUAUGGAUAAGCUUCUUCUUUUCCAUUUCUUGUCAUUUACUUUUUUCUAUUUCUCUAACUAACUCCAUUCACUUCUCAUGUCUCUCUUCAGGACUUGCUUCUAGCAUCAACAGAUUCAAGUUCAGCCUCAUUGGUGUGGAAUAUGACGGCACUACUGAAGAAUCCAAGAGUGAUGAAGAAAGUGCAAGAGGAAAUAAGGAGUGUGGGAGGAAGAAAGGAAUUUCUAGACGAAGAUGAUGUACAGAAGUUUCCGUAUUUGAAGGCAGUGAUAAAAGAGACAUUCAGAUACUAUCCACCAGGGCCAAUUCUUGUGCAAAGAGAAACAAAUGAAGCAUGCGUGAUAGGAGGUUACGAAAUACCAGCAAAGACAACAUUGUACGUGAAUGCGUGGGCGAUCCAUAAGGACCCUGAUAACUGGAAAAACCCAUUUGAGUAUUAUCCAGAGAGGUUCUUGGAUAGUAGUGUAACUUAUCGAGGGCAAGAUUAUGAGUUUCUUCCAUUUGGUUCUGGUCGUAGAGUUUGCCCUGGGAUGCCUAUGGCUAUUGCCUCCUUGGAUCUCAUCCUUGCUAAUCUUCUUAAUGCUUUCGAUUGGGAAUUGCCAGCAGGAAUGAAACCAGAUGACCUUGAUGUUUUGACCGAUCCAGGACUCACCGUUCACAAGAGGAAUCCUCUUCAUCUUCUCGCCAAACGUGUUAUCUAAAUCUAUCUUUCUUUUUAUUAUUGUUUGCACCAUACCCAAUCCUACUGCCACAAAGUAGGUAAAUAAGGGCCCAUAUCACUUUUCAUUACCUCCAUCCUCUCUUCUCCCCUCUCAACAUCACCUCACAUCUUGUACUCAUCAUCUUUUACCAUCUUAUGUUAAUGUCAUUUNNNNNNNNNNNNNNNNNNNNNNNNNNNNNNNNNNNNNNNNNNNNNNNNNNNNNNNNNNNNNNNNNNNNNNNNNNNNNNNNNNNNNNNNNNNNNNNNNNNNCUACUAUAAACCUCUCUCACACAUCUCAUUUUUUCACCCUAAUGCUAUAAUGCCAAAUUUUUUAAAUCUAAAAUAUUCAAAAAGGAAAUUACGUUAAUAUAACUUAAUUAAGUAACAAAUAAUUGUUGAAUAAAAGUAAUUAGAUAAAUUUUGAAAUUUAAUCAAAGGGGUGGGAUAGAAAAAUAAUUUAUUAAUCCAUCGAUAUACACAUUGUUCGAACAAUGAUUUCUUGUAUCUUUCAAGAUGGUUUGACAAUAGAAGCAUUCCUUGAGACAAUCUUAUUCCCAUAUAUUCAUUUAAGUCAUAAUUAUUAAUGACUUGGGACAACCUUUAGAACUUCUACUAGUUGUUGGAUUGGUGCAAAGUUAAGGAUCUUUUUGUGUUAGUGGAUAAUCUUUGUCAUUAAAUUUAUUAACUUCAUCCAACUUGUAGACCUGAUUGAUGUACAUGUCGAAAUCAUUGUGGACAUAUUUGCACACUAUAAGCACAUGAAAACGCAGGAGGUGAAGUUUUUGAAACUUCCCACACAAUCACACCAUUGUUCAUCAAGUCUAAUAGCAAAUUUUUCAUCUAGUUGAACUUUUCUUUAGUAGGUCAUCUCCUCCACCAAGAAUUUUGUGCUACUUCUAUCAAAUUCAAGCAUCCUGUGAAUAUUUCAUUUUGAAUGAGCACCUUCUAGUAUCUUUGAUGUAACUUUGAAAUAGAGAUGACCAACAUUAAUCACUAUGGUUACCUUCCUCAUUUUUUUUGUUUAAUUUGUACCUUGUGUGUGUGGCUUUGACUAUGCAGAAAAUGAGAAGAUUCCUUAUUUUUUUUGAAUUUAAUAUAAAAAUUCAACUAAGUUUGUCAAGUGGCGCUGUAUUUUUCUCUUCUCGUGCAAGUGGCUAUUUAUCACUAUAAAAAAAAUCAGAUUUACUAACAAAUUUUUACCCACGAAUCUGAAUUCGUAGGUAAAUUCAACAUUAUAUACGAAUAUUAUUCACUGACCUGAAUUCAUAGGUAAAUUCAGUAUUACCUGUGAAUAUUAACCACGAAUUUGUAUCCGUACUUGUAGAUUAUUACUCAUGUAUCUCUAUCCAUAGGUAAAUUUUACAUUAUCUACAAAUCUAUAUCUAAAAAAAAUCCAAUAUUAUUACUAAUUAUUAAUAUAAAUAUUUUAAUUAACAAUAUUAAAAAUAUUAAAAAUUAUUGAUAUUUAUAGUAGAUUUUAUUUUAAAAUAAAAUAAAUAUAGUCUUAUUUAUUUUUAAAUGAAAAAAAUAUAGUCUUAUUUAUUUAUAGUUUUGUUUUCGAAUCCUGCUAAGUUAAUAAAGUUUUUAUUUUAAAAUGAAACAAAUAUAGUCUUCUUUUUUAUAUUAUGAAUGAGGAGGCAAUGGUAAAAUGAAACAAAUAUAGUCUUCUUUUUAUAUUAUGAAUGAGGAGGCAAUGGCCUUUAAAACGUGUAAUUUUAGAAAUAUUAACCUAAAAGAGUUGUUGAAAGAGGUAUAUAUUUAAAAAAAGGGUACACGUGAAAGAUAUUCCUACAACAAUUGGCUUCUUAUAUUUUAUUUUCACGCAUCACAUGCUUCUGUUUAAGAUCCUCGAUCAUGGGGAUGCGUAAAGCGUUAUUAAUGAACUCACAAACACGGCUUGGUCAUCUGAUGCAAGAUAAUAAUACCAAGCAAGUAAAAAUUUAUUUUUAUUUAAUAUGUUCAUAUUGAAUUACUGCAAGUCAAAUACUAGCCACGGAAGUGAAGUUUUGUUCCCAAUGUUGGUGAGGAUGUGACUUAUAGGGAAUGCAAGAAGAGUAAAAAAUCUCUAUAAUAGAGAAGUUUUGUAUAUAAAAUUUAUUCAAAAUUUACUGAUAUUGAAUAUUGUUAAUUUUUUUUAUCAAUUAUUUUUAUAAAAUAUGAUUAUUAAAAUGAAAUUUAUUAACAAUAAUUUAUUAUAAUUUUGCCUUAAUUUAAUUAAUGUGAAAUCUUGAUGCGUCGAACGUAAGAAUUAAGAAGACUCGACAGGAGAGGAUAAUAAACUCACAAUCUCGAUUAAAAUGGAUUUUUAAUUACUUUAAUACUAACUUAAAAAAUAAAUUUAAAUUUAACACCUUUAUAAUAAAAUAAAUAUUAUCCUUAUUUCUAUAUUAUAAAACUAAUCUUAUUUUUAGUUCGAUAAAAGAUUUCUAAACAAUAAUUAUGAAAAAUUUAAAUACUAAUACUUCAUAGAGAACUAACAAAAUAAGUAAUAAUAGCUAUAAUUUAUAAAUAUUUAAGAUAUAUAUUAUACAAGAGGAUGAAUAUAUAAUUUUAUUAAAAUAAUUAAACAAAAUGGUAAAUGAAAAAUGAAGUAGCCAAAUUAUUGAUUAUUAGACUAUUACAGUUUGAAUGGGUGAAUGGCAGGCAUUGAUAUAUUUUGCCAUGGGCAUCUGAAACGAAGCACAUGGAGGUGAAGAUUUGUUCUGUGAUGAGUUGGUCCACAAGAGACAAAUAAUUAAAAAAAAUCAUUUAUAAUUAAUGUCUCUUCUUCAGUGGCAGUACAAAAUCCUCGCUGGAAAGAACUUGGUCCAGGCAUAAUUCUUUAUCAAUACUUCAUUAAGUUUCAUCUUUAUGGUUGAUAAAUUCUUUAAUGUUUUUGUUUUAGUAAUAUUAUAUUUUGCUGGUUGAUCUGCUUCUCGGUUGACUCUAAUGACAAGUUCUAGUUCUAUUUGUCUCUGUUGGAAUAUGCUAUUUCCUUUGUUACGUUCGAAAACGACUCUGUUGAAACAUGGGGUCCUACGUGUUGAUUGCACUCCGACGAUCAAGUCAGUACAAGGCUUAUAAGAAAUAAGAAGUAACAAGUUUCAGUCUUAGAAAUAACGUACCUUAACCUGGGGUCUCAAAAUCCUUUUAUAACUUACCUCUUGUAACAACUUUCCAUCACGAGAAUCUAAUCUCAACUGAAAGCAUACUCAACACAAAAAUAUUCAAUUUAGGGGCACACUCUCAAGGUGUUGCAAGCAACAAAAUGAAAUAUUUCCUCCAGGGAGUGCAUAAAAUAAUAACAAAAUAACCACCAGGGUAUCAACUAAUGUACAAGCAUCAGGGGUCCAAUUUGUUUACGUUGACACCCUUAAAGUGGUGCUACGUUCCUUUUCAUCAUGCAUGCAACCUAACCCUUACAUGCCCUAGCACACAUGGGCUUAGGUUUAAAAGAAAGACACUUACUUGACCUAGACCCCAUACGCACUAAGCGCACCCCUAGGUCCACAAUUACUCGUUGCUAGUCGCCUAGGCUUUACAUGCGAAGGAUUACCUUAAUUAUACAAAAAUGGACUUACUCAUACAACUAGGACCCAAUUACAUGGCCCGCUAUUAUGACCCAAGAGCCGAGCUGACUUAUGUAUAGCAGGUGCUGAGGUCCGACCACCGAGUGCUGAGCUCUGAGCACUCUGAUCCAUUAUCGGGUAACAUUAUCGGACACCAAGUGUCUUGGGAUCCCAAAACGGAUGACAAUGUUCCUCCACACGAAGUGUUUGACCUUGGUGAGUGGUUAUCUGCGCAAUUGGUUCAGCUUCUUUUCACUUGGUGAAGUACUCAAUCGCACCACGAGAUACUUCAUCUGACGAAUCACCAAGGGGAAAUGACCUAAGAUGUCUAUUCCCAGGUAUGGAAAGGCCAGGAGCUAUGUAUUGACUGCAACUCCUCGGGGGGUGCGUGAUGCCAAUCAGCAUGCUUCUGACACUGCUCACAUCGCUGCGCAUACCUCGUGCAGUCCUCUCUCAUAGUUGGUCAAUAGUAACCAGCUCGAACGACCUUCAAAGAAAGAGCUCACCCUCAAACGUGGCUUCGACAAAUUCUUUCAUGGAGCUCUGCCAUGAUACGAGUGCACUGGUCCCUGCUUACGCAGGUGAGGAUAGGAUGAGCGUAGGCAUGGCGGAACACCUUUCCGUCAACCAGGAUGUAUCUUUAUGCAUUCCUUUUGACCGUCUUUGCCUUUGUGGGUUCUACUGGGAGUACACCAUCAGCUAGGUAGCGCUGAUAGGGUGUCAUCUAGAUCUCCGCUAUGUCGACCUGUAAGACCUCCAACGAAUCUUCUUCCGGUAAGCCAUAAACGCUUAUUUUGGGCACCUUCAGCGUUUCUUGUAUCAAUGAUAGGUGCACCAUUCCUUUCGCCGAGCUAACCAUCAAGGUCUUUAUAUGACUAACCUCUGGUGCUCCAUCUACAAUGGUCCUGGGUGACUUUUAGGGUCUCUUGGAUAACUGAUCUCUGUCGACCUCCUUUACCUGAGCUCGCCAACUUGGCCAGCAGGUUUGCUCAGGAAUUAUGUUCUCUUAGGACAUGCACCAACUCAAAUGUGGGGAAAGUUUCCCUAAAAAGGGUAACAUGUUGAUCAAGGAUGAUCUUGAAGCUUUAAUGUCUCGAAAUCCAUGGUGUUUGAUGGAAGGCUAAAGUUGUUGUGUGUGUGGGUGGGUUUUGGGUAGAAUAUUUUGUAAUCCACUCUUUGUUUGAAUCUAAAACAGUUUGGAAUCAAAACCUUUUUGAAAAAGAUUGUUUUAUGAAGAAGUGGAAAAACAACCUGUUGUUUUGUCGUUUCAAUCGGUUGUUUAUCACUUUGAGAUUUUUGAAAAGGGUUUUAAAUUGUUUGACUUGGUUGACUUUGCUGUCAAACCAAUUCAAUCGGUUGUUUCGAGAAUUCAACCGAUUGUUUGUUGAAAAUCCAUAACAAAGUUUUUGUUAUGUUUGCAAAUCAACGUUAAAUGUUUUCUAACUAAAUAGGCUCCUGCUUUAAAUGUUUUUAACAACUUUUGGAGUAUUUAAAAGAGAUUGUUAUACUCUCUUAAAAAGAGUUAGAUAAUUUGAGACAUUUUGUGAAAGUGUGAAAACAGAUUUGAGUUUUCAAGAUUUGCAUUUAAGCUUUUGGGUUUUCUCAAAGAAGUGGAAUAGGAUUGUUGUAAUCUUUUGAUUUGAUCUUCAUCAGGUGUAAUCCUUUUUGUAUAUCUUGUAUUUCUGAAUAUUGAAGGUGGAAACAAAAAUCAUAGGUUGUUAUGAAUUCUGUGGUGUGUUUUCCAAAGAAAGUGUGUGUCUUGAGGUGUUCAAGGUCACUUCAUUGGUAGUAUGUUUGUAAUCUGGAUUUUGAUUGCAUAGUAGAUACCUAGUGGUUUUCUAGGGACCGGAUGUACCUCUUGGUGUAAGAGUGAACCAAUAUAAAUCUAUUUGUGUGAUUCUGUCAUUCCCUGAUAUCACAUAUAUCUGUUUUAAGUUGUUUUUAUUAACUGUUGAUAAAAACAACAGAUUGAAUCGCAAAAAACAACCAGUUGAUUUUCUGGAAAUAAACUAAAACAGCUUUGUGCAUUGUUUUCCAUAGUUUCCUUGUCUGUGAUUCUUCAUUGGCCUUCAUUAUACCUUCAAAGUUUGCGAAAAUAUUUCAUAAACAAUUAACCCCCCCCCUUUUGUUUAAGGCCAUAUGUUCUAACAUGACAUACCUCAAGUACGAGGCCAUUUGUGGAUCUUUGGCCUGGUACUCACCUGUGACUUACCUGGUUACUAGCAACGAGUCACUUUUUACCAACAAACUUUGAGCGCCCAAUUCUUUGGCUAGCAGCAUUCCAGCUACCAGGGCUUCAUACUCAGCCAGGUUGUUGUUGGCUUUGAAAGCAAAUCUAAGGGCUUGCUCGAUCAAAAGUCUGUUAGGUCCCUCUAGAAUAAUCCCAGCCCCGCUACCUUGCUGGUUAGAGGACCUGCCCAACGAAACAACCCACUGAAAGUCUCCACCGUUUACCUGGGUGGUUUCUAAGGAUAGAUCUACCACGAAAUCGGCAUAUACCUGGCCCUUGAUGGGCCCCUUGGGUUUGUAUUGCACGUCGGACUCUGACACCUCGACUGCCCAAUGCACCAUCCGACCUCUACAUCGGGUUUCUGGAGGACCUUGCGUAUUGAGAGAUCGGUCAUUACAGUCAUUAUGAAACUCUGAAAAUAGUGACGAAGUCGCCGGGCUGCGAACACCACCGCCAAGGCUGCCUUUUUGUUGGCUUGAUAUCGUACCUCCGGCCCUUGUAGCACCUUGCUUACGAAAUAUAUAAGUCUCCUGAUUUUGCUCUUGCACAAUUACUGAGAUGAUUGCUCGAUUUGUAACUGCAAAAUAAAGGCGAAGCGGAGUACCGGGUUGCGGCUUGUAGAGGACAGGUGGGCUGGCUAGGUACUCCUUCAACUUGAGGAACGCCUCUUCACACUCGUGAGUCCAUGUGAAGCGGUUACUCUUCUUCAAACACUGGAAAUAAGGGUACCCCUUAUCCCCUUUUGCUGAUAGGAAUCUGGACAGGGCGAUCAUACACUCAGUCAACUGUUGUACCUCCUUCACACUAGCGGGGCUUCUCAUCCCUAUGAUUGCUCCACACUUAUCCGGGUUUGCUUCUAUCCCCCGUUCAGUGAGCAGGAACCCUAGGAAGUUCCCUGCCUCUAUCCGAAACACACUUCUCUAAGUUUAACUUUAAUUUGUACUUAGCUAUUGUAGUGCUUAUCCCUUUCUUCUGAGGUGACGACCAUGUCGUCCACAUAUGCUUGUACAUUUCGCCCAAUCAUGGGGGUGAGAAUCCUAUCUAUCAACCUCUAGUAGGUACGCCGACGUUCUUCAGCCCCAAACACAUGAAUUUAUAACAAUAGCUAGAGAUCUCUUUCAUGAAUGUUGUCUUGCACUCAUCUCGGGGGUGCAUGCGAAUCUGAUUGUACCCCGAGAACGAGUAUAGGAAGCUCAACAAUCGGCAACCUGAAGCGCUAUCCAUCAAGGAAUCGAUGUUGGGAUAGGCCUUAUUCAGGUAUGUAAAGUCGACGCACAUUCUCCAUCUCCCAUGUUCCUUCUUCACUAAAACCACGUUUUCCAACCACUCAGGGUAUUAGAUUUCCCUUAUGUGGCCAGCCUUCAGGAGUUUCUGCAUUUUGUCCUUGAAAACUAGACAUCUUUCUUCAUUGAUCAGAUCGCCGCCUUCUGGUCAGACUUAAUGAUGAUCAACCCUCCCUGAGGGAGGGCAACUUCAUCUUCAUGUGCCUUGUUGAGGCUAUUGCGCCUACCUAUUCAAGAAUACCGAAUAGAAUUGCUGGAAACUGAAAUUAAACCAAACAAACAACAAGAAAAAGAAGAAGACACAACUAUGAACAACCAAGGCAAGGAUGCACCGAAGCAAAUUCAGAAACAAAAUAGAAAUACCGAACCAAAAAGAAGCUAAACAUGUAUUAGGAGUUUCAUUGAAUAUGGAGAUGAAAGAAAGAAGAACUUAUGGAGAUGGAUGCUUUGGUUUGAUGAUCACGCCACUUAGAGGAUGGUGACUCCAAGAUGAGUGUGCAAGCCGCCACUUGAGAUAACCAUAGAACUCUCAAGAUAAGACUAAUGAGGAAGGCACAAAGCUCUUCAAUUCUCUCUCAAUUUGAGUAGAGUUUUCUUACUUCAAUUUCCAAAUCUGAAAUUUACAAAGAGAGCACCUCUAUUUAUAGCCUAAGGUGCUGGAAUAUAAGCUACACAAAUUCAAAAAACUCCCUCCCAUAAAGCUUCUAGAAUUUGCGCCUAAAACAAAGCAUGAGGAAGGUGUGACCUCUUCCUUCACUUUGGCACCUCCUUAUUUACUCCUACACCUAUCUACUAACACCCCCCCCUAAGACUCCUAACUAAAGACUAAAAGAUGCUUUAACAAUAGAGGUUUCUAAUGUUUCCCUCUAAGCACCUUCAACAAUAUUCUUUAUUAUUUAAUACUUGGCCUUGCCCUUUAUAGGAUGGACUUGGGCUUGGGCUUGGGCUUUGGGCUUGGGCCUCUCUUUAUUUUAUGUCUUCUUUUAAUUUUGAGAAGACUAGAAGGAAGAACUUCAAGUGUGAUGGUGAAUGGCCUCUUCCUUCAUUAAUAAAAUCCUCUUUUACUUGAUUCUCAUCAAGGUCGUCCUCAGCUCCACAUGUCCCUGUACCUCCACCUGGUCUCUAGCGAAGCCAAACAAACAACCAUCAUACGGUUGCAACUGGUUAGGUGAGAACUGUAGGUUAUUAAACGUUACCCAAAACAACAUAUCAACCGAGUUUCCCUGGUCAAUGAGAAAUCAGUGUACCCUUCUUCCCACGGUGACGACAGAGAUCACUACUGGAUCAUCCUCGUGUGAGACCACGUCCUCCAAAUCAGCUCUCGUAAAGCAAAGGUCAGGCUCGGCUGGCUGGUUAGAGCCCCGCGCCUCCACUAUCAUUACCUCCUUUGUGUACUUCUGGCGUUCGAUGCAUGCUGCUGCGCUUUACUGAUACGGCCUCUUCUGCGGCGAUGUGGGAAACAGCUCGUCGUCGUAUCUCCCCAAAUGUUCUUUCUUGAUUUUUUAUUAGUGAGUCGCUAAACGACCCUGACAUGACCUCCUACUGAAAGGCGUGGACCAUCAACGCUUCAUCCUGCGUCUGGAGCUUCACUGUGAACGCCCCAAAUUUGUUCAAAAAGUCCUUCAAUAGCUCUCCCUGCCUUUGCUUUGUGCCAAAAAGGUCGAAAGACACUAGCGGUUGGGCUAGAUUGACAAUGAAUUAUUCCCUUAACAAUCCAAAAAACUAAUCGAAAGAGGUUAUGUGGGCAUUAGGAAGGCCAACAAACCACUGCAAUGUUGUACCUAUGAACGUACCCAAGAACAUCUUGUAAUGCAUAGCAUCCGUUUCAUCAUCUGGGCAUUAAAUGCUGUAAUGUGGGUCUCGGGGUCUUCUACUUCUGUAAACACGAUCUUGGGUAUCAUGAAAUUGGCUAGUAUAACAGUGUCCAUGAUCGCCUGCGAAAAUGGUUUGGGGCGAGCCCUUAGUUAAGAAAUUGGACCUUGCUCCCCUGUAGAGCGUUCGUCAAAGUGUUAUAGACUCCUCCGCAACUCAUCAUUGGUCUUGCGUAGCACAUCUUCAGCUGGUCUUGCCUGAGCACCAGCUCGGCUUGGACCUCCGCCAUGAGUCUCUCCUUUCAUCCUUGGAUGUCUUUAUCAUCUCCAGGAGAACACUCACAGUCUCCAUAAGUUGUUGUAUGGUGGGGUUGUCACUCCCUUCAGAUCCUAAUAGGUCUUGCCUUGUAUUCCUCAUCACAUCUAGGAACUUGAGCACGACUGCGGGUGGGACCUAGUUUUAUCAGGCCCCACAGUAAGCGCCGGUUGACUCUAAUGACAAGCUCUAGCUUCGUCUUUCUCUGCUGGAAUCUGCUAUUCCCUUUGUUACGUUGGAAAACGACUCCGUUGAAAUAGAGGGGACCCUUCCUGUUGAUUGCACUAUGAUAAUCAAGUCAGUAUAAGGCUUAUAAGAAACAAGAAGUAACAAGUUUCAUUCUUAGAAAUAACGUACCUUAACCUGGGGUCUCAAGCCCCUUUUAUAGCUUACCUCUUAUAACAACUUUCCAUCACGAGAAUCUAAUCUCAACUGAAAGCAUACUAAACAAGAAAAUAUUUUGUUCAGGGGCACACUCUUAAGGUGUUACAAGCAACAUAACAAAAUAUUUCCUCCACGGAGUGCAUAAAAUAAUAAGAAAAUAACCACCAGUGUACCAAGUCAUGUACGAGCAUCAGGGGUCCAAUCUAUUUGCGUAGACACCAUCAGAGUGGCGCUACGUUCCUUUUCAUCAUGCAUGAAACCUAACCCUUACAUGCCCUAACACACAUGAGCUUAGGUUUAAAAUAAAGACACUUACUUGACCUAGACCCCAAACGCACUAAGUGCACCCCUAGAUCCACAAUUACCCUUUGAUAGCCACCUAGGUUUUACAUGCGAAUGAUUACCUUAAUUAUACAAAAAUAGGACUGACUCAUACAACAAGGACCCAAUUACAUGGCCAACUAUUCUAGCUCAAGAGCUGAGCUGACCUAUAUACGACAGAUGCUGAGGUCCGACCACCGAGUGCUAAGCUCUGAGCGCUCUUGUCCAGUACAAAUAUAAAAGGAUAUAAUAUAUUAAGUGUCAAAACACUUGUCGUCUCAAUAAGAGUACAUAAUAUAAUUACAAUACCCAUUAUUAAUUUUUAUUCAUAUUUUUGUCAGAACUAAAUUUUCAUCUUCUAAAUAUUACUAGUGCAAAAGGAAGAUUUUACAAUGUGAAUAAAUAGUGGUUUAAGCGGAAGUUCAAAAUGACAAUUUUAAAAUAACAUCAACACAUAAAUUAUGGUUCUAAUUAUAGCUCGUCUAUUUGAAAACAAAUUAUAUAUAUAUUAUGGUUUGGUGGACAACCAUCACCUAUAAUUAUUAUAAUGUAUGACCAACACAAGAGGGCGGUGAAUUGUUUUCACAAGAUUUUCGCAAAGAUUGGAAGUAGAGUGAAAAGUUCUAAAAAAUCAAUCAAUUGUUUUUUUUAUUCAACUGGAUAAAAGUUCACUUUUAUAAUUCUUUAUAGAAAUUCAAAUAGUUAUUUUCUCGAAACAACAGGUUGGAUUGUUUAUACCAGCAGAAAAAGAAUAGUGUCAAAAACAGUGUAUAAGAGAAGGGAUAGAGAGAUUCACAUAAAGAGGUUUAUACCAGUUCACUCUUAACCAAGAGCUACAUCCAGUCCUUAACUAACCAUUGACAAAUCACUAAGCAAUCAAAACAAGAUUACAAACACACACCUAGAGUGUUGAUCUUGAACCCCUCAAGAACACACAAAACUCCUUGGCAAAACCACAGUUUUCAGAAACCCUUUUUUGAAACUGCCUUACACAAAUUACACAUAAUUACAUUGUUCAAAUGAAGGAAAUAAAGUACACCUGAGCUUUAGAAAGCAGUAGUACAAAAGUAUAGAAAACCCAAUUCCUAUUUCACACACAAGUGAUGAUCCAAAAGCUCUUGAUCCUCUUAAAAACAUUUUUAAUAAGCUUUCUUUCUUAGGUUAUUGAAAAGAUCAUAAAACAGUCUUUAUAGACUCAAGAAAGUGAUUAAAACGGUUAAAUCAUAAAUCAAAAGCAGUUGGAAACAUUUAAAAACAGUUUGGAACUCUUAACCGAAUUCUGUUAGAAAAAAAACAGAUUAGUUUACAAAACAACUUAUUGAAAUAAUUUUUCUAUUAAGGAUUUCAAAGAAAACAACUAGUUGUUUUAUCGAAAUAACCAGUUGUUUCAGUUUGACAACAAAGACAAAAUAAAGCAAAGUUAUUUCAAAACCUUUUGAAAACCACUAAGUGUUAAACAACUAGUUGUUUCGACAAUUCAACAAAUUAAAAAGCUUGUUAUAGCCUAAAGACCUUUGAGUAGUAGGUUUUCCAACAUAUUGAUUUGAAAAACAAAUGACUAAAAUUGCACAGCUUCUUAGAAAACACUUAUUUAAAAGAGAUAAAGAAACAAGUGAGUUUGGAUCAAUGCAAGGUGGGAAUUAACAAUUCAAAAGCUACUAGACAACACACACAAACACAACAACAAGUUCUUCAAGUCUUCUACACAGAUUUGGAGGUAUCAAAGCACCUUAUUCAACAAUCUCUCCUUAAUUGAUGAAGACAAAUCCAUACUUUGUUUGUGUUGUAGGUUUUAAACUUAAGAGCUCCUGCAAAACAAAAUUGUAUACCACACAAAGAAAGUGUAGCAUCAGGAUAAAACAUAUUCACCAAGCACAUUCAUAGAGCAAGUUUUUGCAUAAUAGAGAAGCAGAAACAAAAACCAAAAAAAAAUAAAAAUUGAAGUGUGCAAGUGCAAAGUGUGGUAGCAGCAUGUAUCAAAAUUAAAGCACAUAAUGUAGCAAAAUUACAACCAAAUGAACCAAAAAGUCUCUCCCUAUUUGUCUUCACAAAUAGACAAAAAGAAUGAAUAAUACAAGUAGAAAACAUAAUGAUAAAAUAAUUGUCCAGCAAUACAGAAAAUAUAGAGCAUAAAAAGAAGUAGAAAGAGAUACUUUAAGCUUUCAAACAUCCUUGCCAUAUUGAAAUUCAAAGGGAUAAGUUUGCACAACUUCAAUUUGCUCAUCUAGAUGCUGGAACCUAGCAGCACAAAAUUAUAGUGGUUCCUUUGAUCAUUUGCCAUGUUGUCCAAGCAGUUGAUCAUUAAUCUUUCAAAUUGUGACAUAGAAAUCCCAUGAUCUAUGGGUGGCACAUAGCCCACAAGUGCAUGCAGAGCAUAUUCUUCUGCAACUCCAGCACUUGGACCAGCUCCAUAAUUUGUAUCAGCAACUUGCUUAGUUGGAUUUUCAAUCCCUUGUUCAACAUGUUCAUAUUCAGAUUGAUUUUCAACAUUUAGUUUAGCUUGUUGUCCAUUAUUUAUUCCAAUUUGAUCUUCACGAGAAGGACCCACCUGUUCUUCCUCUUUGCUAACCCAUUUGUCACCAAUUUUGAUGAACCCCAUCUUGCUAAGAAACCCAUUGUUAAUUUCAUGAGAUGGUUUUGUUAGAAUAUAUGGCCUUAAACGAGAGGGGGGUGAAUUGUUUAAGAGAAGUUUUUGAAAAAAACUUCAGGUUUAACAAAAUUAUUUGUGUAAAUCUAGAAUAGGAAUCAGGUUAGCCAAGAAUUUAAGCAAUUAUACAGCAAAGCAACAGAAAAACNNNNNNNNNNNNNNNNNNNNNNNNNNNNNNNNNNNNNNNNNNNNNNNNNNNNNNNNNNNNNNNNNNNNNNNNNNNNNNNNNNNNNNNNNNNNNNNNNNNNNNNNNNNNNNNNNNNNNNNNNNNNNNNNNNNNNNNNNNNNNNNNNNNNNNNNNNNNNNNNNNNNNNNNNNNNNNNNNNNNNNNNNNNNNNNNNNNNNNNNNNNNNNNNNNNNNNNNNNNNNNNNNNNNNNNNNNNNNNGUAUCGAUUAUUUCUUCGAAACAAUCGGUUGUUUAUAUCAGCAAAGAUUAAAACAAAAUUUAAAUGAGUUCAGGGUAAGAGAGAAAUAGACCAACAGUUUAUACUGGUUCACUCUUAAGCCAAGAGCUACAUCCAAUCCCCAGAAUACCAUGGGUAAUCCACUAAGCAAUCAAACCAGAUUACAAGACACAAACCACCAAAGUAGUGACGUUGAACCCUUCAAGAAACACACUAUCUUUGGCAAACCACACCAAGAGUAUUGAUCUUGAACACCUCAAGAGCACACAAUACUCCUUGGCAACACAACACCUGAAAUACAAUAGGUUUAGAAAGGAUUACACCUGAUCACAAUACAAACUGAAUUGAAUACAAUUUCAAUCUUAUUCCACUCUCUCUUGAAAACCCAAAGCUUGAUGUGAAUCUUGAAAUCUUAGAAUCAAAUCUCUCAAACUGAAUUUCUCAAAGUUGUUUCUUACUUAUUUCAAAACAUAAAUAAACCAUUUAUAUUUUCCAAAGAUUGGUCAAAGCAAUUAAUGAAGGAGCGUAUUCAGUUGAAAAAUAUUUAAAGCAGAUUCACCAUUCAAAACAAAAUUCUAUUAGGAUAUUCAAAGAAACAAUCGGUUGAAACCACGAAACAACUGAUUGUUUGGCUUGCCAGUUAAGUCAACCAAACUAAAAUAGUUUUCAACCUUUUUCAAAACUCCUAAGAGUAAAACAACCGAUUGAUUUGACAAAACAACAGGUUGUUUUUCACUUAGUUGGAAAAACACUUGAUUUCAAAAAGGUUUUUAAUCACAAAAGUUUUAGAUUCAACAAAGGAGUGGAUCACACUUUAUUCUACCCAGAUCCCACCCAAACACAACAGCAACACCAGCCUUUUUCAAAGCACUUGAUGACUCUUGAUCAAUAGGUUUUACCACCUCAGACAAUUCUCCAUCAAGAAAAACUUCAAAAUAUUGAAGAAAUUUAGAUAUAAGAACAACAUAAGGAAAAUGAUAAUCACUUAAGCUCAUAGACUUUAGCAUAUGCUCCAUGAAGACAUAGAUCCAGUUGACUCAUAUGUUCUUUAUUAUGCAGUAGAUUAAGAAAAAAUCUUUUUCAGUGAAGACAUCAUGAUUACUAUCCCUUGUGUUAGAAUAUAUGACCUUAAACAAGAGGGGGGUGAAUUGUUUAAGAGGGAUUUUCGCAAACUUUGAAGGUAUAAUGAAAAUCAAUGUUGAAUUACAGAGAAAAUAAUCAAGGAAACAAAUACCCAAAACUGUUUUAAGAUGAUAUCAGAAAAACAAUCGGUUGUUUUGUCAAAACAAUCGGUUGUUUUGUCAAAACAAUUGGUUGUUUUUAUCAGCAGUUUAUUAAAACAACUUAAAAACAACAUUUAAAGAGUUAAGGGUAAGAGAUAAGCACACAAGCAAUUUAUAUUGGUUCACUCUUACACCAAGAGCUACAUCCAGUCCCCAGAAACCACUAGGCAUUCCACUGUGCAAUCAAAACCAGAUUACAAACACCACACACCAAAGUAGUGACCUUGAAACCCUCAAGAAACACACUACCUUUGGCAAACCACACCAAGAGUGUUGAUCUUGAACCCCUCAAGAACACACAACACUCAUUGGCAACACAAAUACAAAAAUACAGUAAUCAAGGAAGAAGGGAAUAGAAUACACCUGGGUAUUACAAAGCUUAAAGUUUAGAAUUACAACCCAAUCCUAUUCCACACACUUAAGAAUGAUCCAAAGCUCUUUCAAAUCUUGGAAAAGUUGUUUUGAUAAACUCUUUAUGUUACUCCAAGAUUAGGAGCGUAAAACCACCUUUAUAUAGACCCACCAAGUGGUCAAAAGCAUUUAAUAAAGGAGCCAAGUUAGUUAGGAUCAUUUAAAACAUAUUAAAACCACUUAACAGAAUUAUGUUAAUUAAGGUUUGCAGGAAAACAAUCAGUUGUUUUGUCGAAACAAUCGAUUGUUUUGGUUUGACAAUAAAGUCAACCAAGUUUUUCAAAAAGAGCUAAGGUAAAACAACCUGUUGAAUUUUUGACAGCUUUUUAGAAAACACAUCUUUUCAAAAGGUUAAAGAUUCAAAUGAACUUGGAUCAACUUAAGGAGUGAAUUAACAAGUUUCAAACAACUAGACAACACACACACCCACAGCAAGGUCUUCAAGCUUUCCUUUUGGAUUUGGAGACAUCAAAGCAUCUUGUUCAACACCUUGGAGUGAGCAUCCACGUGACAAUGAAGGUAGUGAUCCUCUCCUUCAAUUUUAAGGCGCCAACAUGAAAAGCCUUUACUUUCAAGUGAGGAUUUUUUUAUUGUAUUUUGUUGAAGUCUCCCACAACACUUAUGUUUCCUUUUUUUAUCCUUACCUUUGAGUAUUUUAGUCCAGUGAUAGCAGUCCAUACAUUAGAAUUAAUCUCCAUAUCUAGCCCUUUGACAUAGGAAUACAUAUUCUCACCAUCAACAAGUAAAUUUGUGUAGAAUACCUUCACAAGGUUUGGAAAGUUGUUCCCGAACAUCUUAAGGAACCUUCAUAGCUUUCUAUCUUUCAAGGCCUUCCUAACCUCCUUGAGAUUCUUCUCCUUUAGCCAGUUGAAAGACACCAACUUUGGGGCAUUGAUGACCUUUCUACUUAUCUCAAGCAAAAAAAAUCAAUUUUCUCAUUGUCAUCUGAGAACGAGUUUUGAAGAUGACCAACCCUUUUGAUGGCACAUUAUUUCUAUCUCUUUUGUUAGUGGGAUAAGGAGGCCAUGAUGCAGGUAUGUGUUUUUCAAGAUGAAGUAAAGAAAUCCAGUUUCAAGGUACAAAUGUAGAGAAGAAAAAAAAAGGUUGUUUUGUGAAAUAUUUGGUUGAAGGCACCUUUAUAUAAGCAAAAAAAAAAAAUAGCAAAGAUAAAGUUGCAUUUAAUGGGUUGUUUCUGCCAGAGAAAAAAGGAAUCUUUAGCUGUUUUUGAAAACUGUAAUGCGUCAGACCCUAAGAGGGACACUUUUGACUGUGCUUUAUUGUGAUUGACCAUUCAUAAAAAGCUUAUAAUUUUCAAGAAAACAACAUAAUAUAUUCUCUUAUGACCAGAUUCUGAGGCACACUCAAUGUACAAUUGACAAGAAACAGGUUUUAAAAAACAGAAACAGGUAUAAUCAUGCGUAAGCAAUUAUGGCAGAUUUAUGCAGAGGUGCCAAAGGCAAUACAACAAGUUGUUUUGUAUUUUCAACCGAUUGUUUUACUAUGACAACAAAGAGAACAUUUUCCAUAACCAAAUAAUCACCUUUUAAAGUGAUGAAAAAUGUAGUAUGCAAUUUGUUCAUAUCUUUGCACAGAGAUAACCCCAAUAGAUUCAAUCAAGAAGUAUUUUUUUGAGAUGUCCAUAUGACCAUAUAAGAUGCUUACAUGACACACUGUACAUGGGUCAUGGAUUACCUCUUGACAGUUACAGAACACUAUAAGGUGCAUACAUUUCAAUAGUAGAAAUAUAAGGACAACCAUUACUUUGGUUGGUUUUCCCUUGAGCAGUUAUUCUUUGAACUUAAUGUUUCUUGACUGCCAAGAAUACCUGAAAAAGAGAGAAUUCAAGAAGCAAGAUUUGGUCCCCUUUUGAAUGCGGGUCCAUAGGUAUUAACUAGGACUUUAGGAACCUUAGAAGUUUAUGACAUUUCUAGAUUCACAUGACUUUGAUAGAAAAAUUAAAGUGAUUUAACCAAAUAAAUGAAACAAGACUCAAGCAAAAACUAAACUGUACACGGAAAUAAAAAUAAUACAACUAAAAGAAACAUGGGAUGGUUCAAGAAAGAACAAUUAAUUUGAACCGUAUAAACUGGACAAAACAAUAAUUGAAUCGGUGAAAUGAGAUGGAAACAUGUUCAAGACAAAUAAAAAACAGUGAGUUUACAACACAUAAAUAAAGAAAGAAAGUAGUAGAAGAAGAAACACUUAGCCCAUGCUGAUAAGAGUCUGACUCUGCUGAGGUCAGCUGAAUCCCACUCAUCUUAAUUUUUCUUGGUUUUUGCUUUUACAGUUGGUCAUUUUCUAAGGGGUCUUCCAUCAAUAUCUCUCAACUUUCUUUUUUACUAUGUUUCGUAUUUUCACCUUUCACCGCGUUAGCAUAGGUUGGUUGUACAUUAUUUUUCCUCCAAAUCUACCUAUAUUUCAUGCUAUUGCUUUUCUUUCUUCUCCUUUCAUAUUUUACAUACUACCUCCCUCUAAACUCCUCUGUGCUUAGUGUAUGAUAUAUCGUUACGUUUAUAUCUUGGUUUAUUGACAUAGAUUUUCUGGUUGUCUAUUCAUAUGUUAUUCAAUUGCUUUUCCAAAUAUUCUAGAUUUGAGAUCGCCUUAACUCUAACGAAACCAAAUCUUUGUCUACUGACGAGCAAUGAAAAUGUCUUCAACUCUUCCUACCUCCAAAAUAUUUUCCACAUUUCAUAUUUGCCAAACUUUGGAAGUUUCGUUCAUUUAACACAACAAUUAUAUGUGUCAUUAUUAAGUUAUUUGGGGUUUCAUAAUGAUAAAGGUGUUGAAAAUGGUUAAACAAAACUAUGUACUCAACAAAAACAAAAACAAGGGAAAGGUGUUGGAUUUACCCGAGUCUUAAUACAUAUAAUUACAAUUCCAACCAUUAUUCAAACUUUUUUUUUCCUUGCAAGUGAUAAUAAAUUUAAAGAAGUGAUAUUAAAAGAUAAAACUUUCCAUAACACCUUAUUUAAUGAAUAUUUUUAACCAAGUUUACAAAUUUUUUAACCAACUUUUACAUUAUCUACAAAUUUUACUCACAAAUCUAUAUCGAAAAUAAAUCCAAUAUUAUUACUAAUUAUUAAUAUAAAUAUUUUUAUUAACAAUAUUAAAAAUAAGAAGAAUAUAAUGGCAAAAAUUGUAAAUAUAAAAUAUUGAAAAAGGAAAUUACAAUGAUUUCGUGUUUAACUAAUAACAAUUUAAAAGUAAUUAGAUAAAUUUUGAAAUUUAAUCAAAGGGGUGGGAUAGACAAAUAAUUUAUUGAUCCAUCAAUAAUAAUGAUAUAUUAGAGAAACAAAACAUAAUUAAUUAUGUGAAGUUGAGGCUCAAAGUACACGGUUGUUCGAACAACGGUUUCUUUUAUGUUCUAAGAUGGUUUGACAAUAGGAGCAUUUCUUGGGGCAAUCUUAUUCCCAGAUAUUCAUUUGAGUCGUAAUUAUUGAUGACUUGGGACAACCUAUAAAACUUCUACUAGUUGUUGGAUUGGUGCAAAGUUAAGGGUCUUUGUGUGUUGGUCAAUAAUCUUUGUCAUUAAAUUUAUUAACUUCAUCCAACUUGUAGACAUGAUUGAUGUACAUGUUGAAAUCAUUGUGGACAUAUUUGCACACUAUAAGCACAUGAAAACGCAGGGGAAGCUUUGAAACUUCCCACACAAUCACACCAUUGUUCAUAAAGUCUAAUAACAAAUUUUUCAUCUGGUCGAAAUUCUCUUUGGUUGGUCAUCUCCUCGACCAAGAAUUUUGUGCUGCUUCUAUCAAAUCAAGCACCCUGUGAAUAUUUCAUUUUUUUAAUGACCACAUUCUGGUAUCUUUGAUGUAACUUUGAAAUAGAGAUGAGUAACAUUAAUCAUUUUGGUCACUUCCCUCACUUUUUUUGUGAAAUAUUUGUUGCACCUUGUGUGUGUGGCUAUGGCUAUGGAGAAAAUGGGAAUAUUCUUUAACUUUUUCCAAUUUAAUUUACAAAUUUAACUAAGUUGGUUAAGUGCCCCUAUAUUCUUUCUUCGUCACAUGCAAAUGCCCAUUUAUGUUUAAGAAUUUUGUCAAUCCAAAUUGCUACUUUCGGAUUGGUUGCCUUUUUUUUAUAUUGUAGUAGUAGUUUGACAAAGUAACAAACCAUUAAAAAAUUUGUAGACAUUUGGGAAGAAUCACUCAAAAAAUUACUCAACUUGCCAUGUCAAAGUUUGUUGAUAUGGGCAAUUAUAGUGGCAAUUACACUACAAGAAAAAUGCGAAUUAUAUAGGAAUUAUUACAUACUGAUCAAAAUCUGUAUGUAAAGUCAACAUUACAUACAAAUUUUUACAUACAGAUUAUAUUCCGUAUGUGAAUAGAUAUUACAUACGGACUAUAUCCGUAUGUAACUUUGGCACCAUGAAGCGGAAAGUAAAAUAAAAUCUGCAGUAGAUGAGAUUCAAAACCAAGUUCCUUCAGUGACAAAAGAAACUUUAACCAAACAAAAUUGGGUUUGGGUUUUAAAUGUCAAUCACCCCAUCUAAAUCUCCUCAUCUUAAAGUUGAGUUGCAGUGUAGUGCGUAUUUUCAUCAGUAAUGUGAAUAGGAUUUUUGUACGUGAUUGUGGAAAGGUCUUCAUUUUGUCCUUGGUCGCAUCUUUGUAAGACAUGUUAUUUAAAGGCAUCAAAUGACAUUCUUCUAUGAAUGGCCACCAUGAAGACUUAUGACACUUUGGAAGACAACCCUAUAUGAAGAAAGUUAACACUCUCGACAUAAUCAUAGAUCAUUACUCAAAUGGAUAAAUCCAUUUGAAUAGAAAAUGAAUGGAACUUACCUAACUCUUGAAGUGAGAGAAUUCAAGAAAGUUUAAAGGUUUGAGAAAUUUGUUAGCAAAAUCAUGUUAUGGGUUAUGUGAUAUUUACUGAGAAAAGUGACACACAACGUAACCAUUGAUGUGUAUAUUUGCAUGCAAAUUAAGACUACCACGCAUGUGAAUGGUGGCAUGAGAGUUAAGAGGGGCACACGUGUCAAGAGUUCCACACGAAUAAAGGGUGGCAGGAAUGCCUAGCAAGGAAAGUGAACAAAGAUUCUCAUGCAAGCAAACCUGGGUAUGCAAGUUAAGACUACAACGUGUGAUGAUGGUGACAGUUCGAUUAUGACUGUCACAGUGACCAACUUUAUCACAGUUACAAAUUUCAGUUAUAAGUUAACUAAAGGUACUUUGGUAGACUUUGUCACAUCCUUAGACAUUCAAUACGAGGCUCGAUAAUAAAGGAAGUAAAGCAUUAACGAAACUUGUUCUCCAUUACUGAAUGGAAAUAACAAUGCAUAUUUAAAGAUUAAUAAAUAAAGCAUAAAUUUGAAAUACUUAGCACAUUCCAAUACACUAAAACAUCAAACUAACUUCAAAGACAACAAUUUUUCGAUUUCAUAUAAAGACGCAGAAGAUGUUGGGUGUGAGUUGUGCUCACAAAUAUAAGUCAUUAUCUUGACCUACACUUACUAUGCUUGACUUGUUGACAUAGUGAACAUAUUGUCCACAUUCUCAUCUUUAUAAAUCAUAUAUGAAUGAUGAAGAUGUGUUAACAAAGAUGUAGAUCGAAUAUAUGUAAUGUAAGUCGACAAGAUAAAACUUGUUUGUUGUUGUAUUGAAUUGAUUAAUGGUUGUUUGCUUCAUUUCCAAUGUCGUCAUUGUAUUGAUGAUAAUAACUCAAGCCGUGUGUGGACUAACAUGGUAGACAAAUCACCUACCGUCUGUCAAGAUUUGGCCACUAUAAUUCACUAACACAAUAAAAACUGCAAAAGUCAUAUCUAUACUUUACAACAAUUAUUACUUUAGGCAACAACAUAAAAUUGUGGUCUAAAAUCGUGGCCUAAGGUUUAGGCAACGGUUUUUUAGUCGUGGUCGAAGUGUGCGUGGCCGUAUGUAAUAGGCCACGGUUUUUAUAAAGACAAUAAUUUUAAAAUCGUUGUCUAAAAUAUUUAUAACAGCUAUAAUUAGAAGUGCUGCUUGUAAGGAUCUAGAAAAUAACCUUAGAGUAUAAGUGAUAUAUUUUAAAUGAUAUUUGAAUAUUUUAUUAUUAAAAUGAAAAUGACAAAUAAAUAGAAAAUUCAGUUAUUCAGGUUUCAUUUUAAAAGAACCAACAUCUCUAUAAAAGUUUCCCUUUUUCUUUCUCUCCAUUCUCUCUAAGAUUCUGAUCUCCCCACUUAUCAGUUUGGCGAUCGGAGUCUGCCAUUGGACUCCUGGCAGCGAAGACUACAAGACUGCUCGAUCAGAAUCUCUUAUAGAGUAAGUUCAGUUUUGUUCCUCUUUUUCCUUUUCUCUCCCUUCUCUCUAAGAUUCUGACCUCCUUGCUUAUCAGUUUGGCGAUCGGAGUCUGCCAUUGGACUCCUGUCAGUGAACCCUAUAAGAUUGCCCGAUCAAAAUCUCAGAUAGAGUAAGUUCAUUCUUGACCCCUUUUUCUUUGGAGUUAAUUUUGAUCUUAUUAUAUUUAUGCUUUGCAUAUGAUUCUUUUAGCUUCAGGGUUAAUUUUGUUAACAAAGAGUCCUAGUUAUAUAGUUAGAUUUUUAUCAGGAUUAUAUGGUGCAGGUUACAUUACCUUUAGGCUUUUGGUGGAUUUGGAGCUCCUAGUGAGCAUGAGCUAAAGUUCAGGUAAGGGAAGCUAGUUUUAAAUUGCCAAUAGAACCCUAAGCUAGAAGAUCUGGAUGUGGGGGUGACGUGGUCACCAAUUUCAAAUUUUCUUGCAGGAUCUCUUGUUUUUGCGUAGAUUGGAAAUUGUUUGAGAUUGAAAUGAAAAAUUUAGAUAUAGUAGAUGAUGUAGAAUGUAUAUAAGUUUGGAAUUGAAUGAAUUACUGAAUGUAUUUGAAAAAGGUUUGUGAUGAUUUUUUUUGACAAUUUCAAAGCACAUAUUUUGAUCAUUUCGUGAUGAUUCAAUUUAUGAACUAAAAAUUGUUUGUGACAAUUUUUAAAGUAAAUUAUGAGUUGAUUAUUUGGAGAAUUGCUAUGUUGAUUGUAAUAUAAAUUCUGGUGUUUUUGAAAUAAAUUAGUUGUUAGGUUUAACAAUUGGUGAUCAAACUUUAAUUUGCAUGUUGUGGCUUUCCCAUCCUUUUUAUUAAAUAAUGUUGGAUACGUGGUGCUAGGUAUAUGUAAAGUAAAAAGAAGAAAAUUUAUUGUUCAUGCUCUUUUCUUUCAUUCUAUAAAUUCUAUGCAAUGUUGGAUGAUACUUUUCUUUUCUCCUUUUGUAAUUGGUGUAACAAUCUUGCUAUAAUUCUAAAUAUUAAAGUAUUACAAUAAAUGUUGGAAUUAGUUCUUCCUUGUGGAAAUUUGAAGAAGUUGAGAGCUGUUGGAUAUAGUUGUACUUGAGAGAUAACUUUGUUUCAUUCUCCUUUUAUUGUCUCUCUUUUUGGGUAGUAAAACUUGAUGUUAUUUAGAUACACUUUGGAGCCCUUUUGAUUCAAGACAUUUGGAAUGAUUUGAUUGUUUGAUGUUGGAGAUUGUGAUGUUUAGAAUAUGAAUUUUAAUGAAAACCUAGUAUUUUUAGGAAAGAAAAUAUCGUGUGAAGAUUGUUUAGGAUGUGCAUUGACUAGGGAUUCGUCUAAAAGGAGAUAUCCUGACUCUCCUGAGAUAAUGGAAUCAUAUAGAUGAAGUUAUUCAGGUGGUGAGAGUUGAAGGAGGUUCGUAUGAGUGGGUAAGUUGUUUGAAAGAUAACUAACUUGACCUAUAAUACGAGUCAACCAUGUCAUACUAGGAGAGAUAUGAUAUUGAGAUUCUUUAUGCGCAUAGCUGUGUGGAUUUCAGAGUGAGAUAGUAAAACAGGUGCAGAUCUCUGAGUCUAAGUCAAUGCAUGAGUCUUCCGGAAGUAGAGUGAAGUGUCUAUGUGUUGUGAAUCAGUAGAAGUCUGACAUAUGAAAGAUGAAUUUUAUGAAUGGAAUAAACACUUGAUGGUUUGGGAAAUCAUAUGAGAAUUGAUGAAUUAUGCUUAUGAAUUUGAAAUUUAAAUUAUAUCAAAACUUUUUAUAUAGAUAUCUUACCUUGUUAUUUGUUUGUGUUUGCUUCUUUAUCUGUGAUGAUCGUGUUUUACACGGGAGCAGAUGAGAUUGCAGGUAAUAGAGCUCCUUAGUGAGCAGCUGGAGGAUGAGAUAGUUUUAUUUGAAUGCUUUGUUUUGUUGUUAAAACUUUUGAUAUAUAUAUAUAUAUAUUAAAUCCCUAUGAAGAGGGAUAUUUCUUUUGAGAUACACAUAUCAGAAAGUAGUAUAUGUUUAUUUGUAAUUAGAUAUUGCUUGUUUUACUUUUAUUUCAUUAUAUACGGGUAAAAUUAAGGAUGUUACAUUAUGGUAUCAGAGUUGUUUGAACCUUAGGAGACCUUAGGGUUAUGGUGUUGCUUAUGUGUGCUUUAGUUGUUUUGUUAGUAAAACUACAUAGUUAUGAUUCUUUUUUAUUUAUCCUAAAUCUUUCUUUUCUGUUGUAUAGCAUGGCUCCUAAACCUCCUACCCCUCCCCAAACUUCUUUUGAGAUGAACCAGAUUGCCAAGGUUAUUGAAAUGAUGGCAAAUGCUAUCUAACAACAGAAUAUGGCAAUGGCUUAGAAUCAUCAGGCAGCAAUGCAUCAUUGGGAGACUGCAAGAUUUGCUGCAACAGCUUCCCAUGUCAGUCAGUCUCAGGAGCAGAUGGGACUGACAAAGUUCAUGAGACACAACCCACCUAAGUUCACUGGGAAUGCCACUCCUGACCAAGCAGACCAAUGGAUCAGGGAGUUAGAGAUUUGAAGUUGCAUAUUUAGUUAAUUACUUAGCUUAAUACUAUGUUUCAAUAUUUAGGUGAGUUUUAUAUAAUGGGAAAGAGUAGUAUUGUGGGCAUUGUUAACAAUGAAUCUAUGGACACAAGUGUAUAUGUUCAUAACUUUAAAAUUGUCUCAUUAGAUAUGAUGUGACCAACAUAUUAAAUUAUUAUUAAUAUAUUGAUUUUAUAAGGUGAUUACAUUUCAAUAUAUAAAAUUGUAUCACUCUAAUAGUGAUGUGAUUCCACUAGCCAUAUAGAGAAUGAUUCUUGACAUUCUUAGGAAUCACCUUGAGUUGGACAUUAUAGAGACACUUUUCUUAGAGUUGGAUCAUUGUUCUAAGACAAGAACUCACCAAAAACUAGUACCAAAUCCCAAACUCAUUUGGAUGUUCCACAUAUUGUCAAAUUGAACCAACAAAGAGAGGUAAAACUAAGAAUUACCGAACAGAAUUGCAUAAGAACACAUUUCAACCGAACAAAAUGAAAUUAAAAGGCAAAGAACAGAACAUAGGUGCUGGAAAACUAGAAUAGCCGAACCAAACAACAAGACAACAAGCUAGAACAUAGAAUUAACAAAGAAGAAAGGAAGGAGAGAAGAAAUGCUCAUGAAGAUGGAAGGAUGAUGGAUGAUCUCGCCACUAGAAGUGUGGAAUGCUCCUAGAUGAGAGUGUUGCCGCCACUUGAGGACUCCAUGGAUCCAUCAAGAUAAGACUAGAGAAGAAGGCUCAAAAGCUCUCCAAUGUUCACUCAAAAUUUGAGUAGAUUUUUCUUAGAUUAAUUCCAAUCUGAAAAAUACAAGGAGAGCACCUCUAUUUAUAGCCUAAGGUGCUGAAAAACAAAGCUAAGAGAAUUCAAAAUUCCCUCCUAAAAUUAUUCAAAACCGGCGCCUAAUCCAUACAUGAGGAAGGUGUGACUCCUUCCUUCACUUUGGCACCUCCUAUUCUACUUCUACUCCUAUCUACUAACACACCCCCCUAAAGCUCCUAACUAAAGCCUAAAAGAUGCUAUAACAAUAGAGGUUUCUAAAGUUUCCCUCUAAGCACCUUCAACUAAAGAAAUUACAAAAAGAGAAAAUAAAUGUCCUCUAGUUCCUAAAGCUUUAAACAUGCUUCUUGUAAACCUUUGAGGUGGACUUUGACCUCCAUGGGCGUCUUCUAUUUGUGCCUCUACCUCUUCUUGAUCUUGUUGAUUGGCCUCUAUGUUCUCUUGAUCUUGAUCUCCAUCAAAUAGCCUAGUCUUUCAUGUCUAGGAGGCCCAAGGCAAAAAAAAAAAAUUAAGAUCAAAAUAGUAAAUUGUAGUAUUAAUGCAUCAUGAAGUUUUUUAUUAGACCUAUUUUCUUGUUCAUCUUCUAUCUACUUCUAAACCAUCAAUGCACCUAGGAGUUGAAAAUGAAAAUGGUGUUAGAAAUUGUAAUUCACAUAAGUUUGUUAGGGAAUUAUUUUCUUAGUUAAUUAAUAUUAUAUAAGGUAUCUUUUAUUCAGAGUGCAAGCAUGUACAUUUGAAAAUAAUAUAGAACAUUAUUUUUCUAUAAUUUCUUUCUUUUUAAUUGUUUUGGUAAUUUCUAACCAAUUAGUAUCGAGAUCAAGGUCGAUCCAUCAACCUCCGAGGUGUGUUCUUUAAUUGAAGAACCUAAAUCUUCAAACAAGGAGAAAUGUCAAGUUUGAGCAAUGUUGUUUGUAGCACUUUAUCAGUGUUUAAUGCAAACAAUUUUGAUGAUUGGAGAAUAAAGAUGACUACCUUAUUUGAUUUUCAAGAUGUAUAAGAAAUUGUGUUUUUGGGAUUUUAGGAAUUACGAAGCUAUGCUAUUGCAGAAAAAGACAAAAAAAUAUCAAUUAACAAUAAAUAUUAUAUUAAAUAGGAGUACUAGGGCAAUUCAACCCAUUUACAAAAAUACCUACAACAAUACAUAAAACAUAAAAAGGAAUCAAUUCAUACUCACAAGCUCUCAAUGUGCAGUAAUCAUUAUCUACUCAUUCCUUACCAAACUACUGUGAUCUUAUCCAAAAAUCAUUACAAACAGUCCCAACCUAUCACCAAUAGAAUUUCAAAAGAUAAUUUGCAAUCAAACCAAAGGAGUCCCAACACAAAAUAUAGUUUUCGUGGACUACAUAAUUCUAAGUUGUAUGCAAAGAAAUCUAAAAAAGAACAUGCCUUCCCAUACCAACUUUUAGGGAUUUAAAAUCAGAAAAUAGAAGGAAAGAUUUGUUGAUGGAAGAUUACAUAGAAUCUCCAAGUUAGCAUACGAAACUUGUUUUCCUGCACAUUUAAAGUAACCAAGUAAGAAAAAAAAAAUGGUACUCUACCUUUGCUGUUAGAUAUUCCUCCAGGUAAAAUAGGUUUGUAAUUCAUGAUUGCACACUAUUUUUUAUUGUAUAAAUGCUCCUUUAGUCGUAGAAUUAGUUGGUCUUCAAGACAUAAAAUUGCAACAUCACUACAUAUACGUGUGUUAUUUUUAUGUACAUGAUAGAAAAGAUUUCAGACAUAAGCAACAAUUAGCAUAUGAAAAAAUAACUUUUUUAUUGAGGUUUCAGAAAACUUGAUAGUAAGGUAGAAUUCUUGAUUCAUAUGUGUUGAUGCUACUACUUUGGGAAAAUAUACAUUGCCACUACAAUAAGUGUGAGAUAUUUUGGUUAAGACCUAUGGUGGUCUUAACAGGAGAAAGAAAGUCAAGUUACAGACUUUAAUAAGGUAAUACGAGUUGCUCUCAAUAAAUGAUCAAGAAUAUGUUGCAAAUUAUUUCAACGAAAUUCAGAUUUCGAUGAAUGGAAUCAAGUAUUUUAAAAAGGACCACAUAUCAACAUGUUGAUAUGAGCUGCAUAACAUUAAACUCACAUUUUGCUUAUAUUUGUUUUGUGAAUUAAAUAAUCGAAGAACCUUAACUCAAUAAGUAUUGAAGAAUUACAUAAUUCACUUGAAGCCCAUAAAAAAAGAAUUAGUCAGAGAUGGGAUUCUGAAAAGGCACAAAAGUGAGCAUUACAAGUCCAAAAUAAUUUCAAAAAUAAAAGGAGUUGUAAUCAGAAAGGAAAUACAAAUAGAAAGGAAGAAGAUUGAAUUAAUCAACCAACGAAAAGAUUGAAAUGCUCAAUAUUUGAGUAACCUAACCGACAUUAAAAAUUGGGGUCAAUCAAAACAGAAGGAAGUUUAUAACUGAAAUAACUUGAGAUAUUUUGCAUGAAUGCUAAAGUUGAAAAGAAGGAAAAGGAAAAUUCAAUGAUGAAACAAACAUAGAUUAUGAUGAUUGGUGAGACUAAGAAUCAGACCUAAUACCAUUGAAGGAAAAUGAUGUAUGUGAUAUGUGAAGUUCAAAUGCUCAACUAAGAUACGAAAUGACAAUUUAUUGAAAAUUAUAACAAGUGAUUAAUAUGUUUUUGAUUAAUUCAAUAGAUACUAUGAAAUAUAAGGUAUUCAUUAACCUCCUUAUACACUAAAACAUAAUGGUAAUGCAGAAAAGAAAAAUAGGACCAUGAUGAAUAUGGCGAGAUGCAUGUUGAUGACUAUUUUACGACAAAUGUACCGUGUCAAAAGUAAUAAUUUGUCCCAAAUGAUGGAUAUUGAACCCACAAGGAACAGUUAAACUCUCAAGUAUAAUACUCACCAAAUAUAAGACAAUUUGCAAAAGUUUGUUGGAAAGGUUUUUUGUAUGAUGAAUUUGAAAAAAAAUUAAAUAAAGUAAAGUAAAAGAUCAUUCAUAUUGAUCUUUGAUUGAUUUAUGAGUCAAUUGGGAAAAUUUGGAUUGCGGUUCAUCCUUCUAACCCGUAUGUAUUUUUCAAAAGAAUAUAAUAUUCAAUCUUGAUUGAUUUUGAUGCACAUAUAAAAAUCAUUCAUAUUGAUUCCUCACAUACAAAAUUAUUACGAGAGUCUCAUAAAUAUCGAUUCCUCUCACAUUUAUAAAAUCUCCUUAUCAUUACAAAAAGAUGUUAUAAAGCAAUUAACAUUUCAAAUCUAUUUCUAGUAUUCAAAUAUGUUAAGAAUUAUCAUUUAGAUAAGAUGUUUAGAACUACUUUUUGAUGGAGUUAUGCCUUCAUUCUGUUUGGUUUUCUUGGUGGAGAGGUGCGGAAGCUUCAUUGAUUGCAGCAGACAAGGAACUGACCUAUGUUAGAAUAUAUGGCCUUAAACGAGAGGGGGGGUGAAUUGUUUAAGAAAGAUUUUCGUAAACUUUUAAGCCUAAAAUGAAAAUACUUCAAGAAAACCUUGAUUAAGAAUUCAGUUUUCCAAAACAUAAAGCAAAAGCAUAAUACUGGAAAAACAAUCGGUUGUUUUACCGAAACAAUCGGUUGUUUAUACCAGUUAUCAAUUAACAAAACUGAAUUUAAAGAGAUAGGGAUAGAGAGAUUGUACACAGUUGUUUAUACUCGUUCACUCCAAACCCAGAGCUACAUCCAAUCUUCUCAGAAACCCUGAGGAAAUCCACUAAGCAAUCACACCUUGAUCACUUACACAACA
rnacentral:lncRNA from 1 species